UACCAGCACCCCGAGUGGUGGGGACGAUUAUUGGGCCUAAAGCAUCCGUAGCCGGUUCUACAAGUCUUCCGUUAAAUCCACCUGCUUAACAGAUGGGCUGCGGAGGAUACUAUAGAGCUAGGAGGCGGGAGAGGCAAGCGGUACUUAGUGGGUAGGGGUAAAAUCCGUUGAUCCAUUGAAGACCACCAGUGGCGAAGGCGGCUUGCCAGAACGCACUCGACGGUGAGGGAUGAAAGCUGGGGGAGCAAACCGG
rnacentral:rRNA from 1 species